CAGUCGCCGCGGUAAUACAGAGGGUGCGAGCGUUAAUCGGAUUUACUGGGCGUAAAGCGUGCGUAGGCGGCUUUUUAAGUCGGAUGUAAAAUCCCUGAGCUUAACUUAGGAAUUGCAUUCGAUACUGGGAAGCUAGAGUAUGGGAGAGGAUGGUAGAAUUCCAGGUGUAGCGGUGAAAUGCGUAGAGAUCUGGAGGAAUACCGAUGGCGAAGGCAGCCAUCUGGCCUAAUACUGACGCUGAGGUACGAAAGCAUAGGGAGCAAACAGGAUUAGAUACCCCUGUAGUCCCUGUCUCUUAUAC
rnacentral:rRNA from 1 species